UGGGGAAUAUUGCACAAUGGGGGAAAGCCUGAUCCAGCCAUGCCGCGUGUGUGAAGAAGGUCUUCGGAUUGUAAAGCACUUUAAGUUGGGAGGAAGGGCAUUAACCUAAUACGUUAGUGUUUUGACGUUACCGACAGAAUAAGCACCGGCUAACUCUGUGCCAGCAGCCGCGGUCAUACAGAGGGUGCAAGCGUUAAUCGGAAUUACUGGGCGUAAAGCGCGCGUAGGUGGUUUGUUAAGUUGGAUGUGAAAUCCCCGGGCUCAACCUGGGAACUGCAUUCAAAACUGACUGACUAGAGUAUGGUAGAGGGUGGUGGAAUUUCCUGUGUAGCGGUGAAAUGCGUAGAUAUAGGAAGGAACACCAGUGGCGAAGGCGACCACCUGGACUAAUACUGACACUGAGGUGCGAAAGCGUGGGGAGCAAACA
rnacentral:rRNA from 1 species